UUUAAGCUCUUAGAGGAAUAGCUAGGCUUGAAUUUUGAAGACGGACGUGGCAAGUUGCGAUAAGCUUAGGGUAGCCGCAUGCAGGCAUUGAACCUAAGAUCUCCUAAUGCGAGAACGUACUCGCAAGAGAAUUCUGAGAAGAAGAAAGACGCCGGGAACUGAAACAUCUUAGUACCGGUAGGAAAAGAAAACAAUUGUGAUUCCCUUAUUAGCGGCGAGCGAAAAGGGAUGAGGGCAAACUGAAUCUCCUUGCGAAAGUGAGGCAGAGAUGUGGUAAAGAUACUUCAAAAACUUCGGUUUUUGAGGCACAGAAAACUCUGUUUUCUGUGAAUGGCUAAGUCAUCGAAUUGAAGUUCUCUGGAAUGAGAUAUCUUAGAGGGUGAUAAUCCCGUAAAUGAAGAUGAUAUGUUGUUCUUUAAUAGAGUAGGGCUCCCUGGAUUGGAAGUCCGAAUAUGGCUAGAUUAAUAGCCAACCCUAAAUAUCAAUUCAAGUCCGAUAGCGAACAUAGUACCGCGAGGGAAAGCUGAAAAGUACUCUUAAUCGAGGGUUAAAAGACUUGAAAUCUAAGAGUUACAUGAUGGUUACGGCAUUACGGUGUUGUAACGUACGUGUUGAAAAAUGAGCCAAGGAGUUUACUUAUGUGGCAAGGUUAAUUUUAGAAGCCAUAGCGAAAGCGAGUCUGAAAGGGCGAGAGUCACAUGGGUGAGACACGAUGCCAGAUGAUCUAUUCGUGCGCAGGGCGAAGUUCUCCGAAAGGAGAAUGGAGGCCCGAACUAGUGUGCGCGCAUGUACUUGGGUGACGUGCGAAUAGGGGUGAAAAGCCAAUCUAAUCUGGCGGUGGCUUGUUCCUGUCGAAUUAUGCCUUAGUAUAGCCUCUAUAUGUUCGUUGGCGGUGUAAAGUACGGAUAGCGUCUGCAGAUCCUUCUGGAUACGGGAUGCUCUUCCAACUCUGAAACUGUCAACUAUAGAUAUAGGGAGUGGGGGACGGUGCGUAAGGUACUGUUCCGAGACCCGAACAAGGGAGACUGGAGUUAAGGUCCCAAAAUGUAUGCUCAGUGUAACAAAGGUUGUCUUGACCCUAAGACACUAAGGAUGUAGGCUCAGAAGCAGCCAUCAUUUAAAGAAAGCGUAACAGCUCACUUAUUGAGGUUCGAGGCGCCGAAGAUGGACGGGGCUAAGCAUACUACCGAUACUUCAGAGGUUUUCUGUAUUGAAAACUCUGGUAGACAGGCGUACAUAUUGUGUAGAAGUACUUUCGAAAGAAAAGAUGGAACGAUAUGUAAUGAAAAUCUUGGUGGAAGUAAGAUCAAAUUAUCCUGAGAAUGGAUAGCGUCGCAAGAGCAAGGUUUCCUUGGCACCAUCGUUUAACCAAGGGUUAGUCAGCACCUAAGUUGUAUCUUAACUGCGUACGACGAUGGACAUCCGGUUAAUAUUCCGGAACAGACUACAAUCGUUUAGUGCACGAAAUUGCUUAGGGAUAGGCGGGAGUCCGAGAGGGCUCUUACUUCAGAAAUUAAUGGAUCGUAAUGAUAAGAAGUUUUUGAAUGAAGUAACGAGAACCGUUGAAUCCUAGAGUCCAUGAAAUAUUUGUGUAUAGAUUGUAUUUUGCUGUACUCAGAACUGACACUGGUGCUCUGGUUGAAAAGACUAAGACGUGAAAGGUAUAACCUGGUUAAGGGAAUUCGGCAUAAUUGGCCCCGUAGCUUCGGUAGAAGGGGUGUCUAUAACUGUCUUUGAUAUUAGAAGGCAGUGGUAGAUUGCAAUAACAAGGACCGCCCGACUGUUUAUCAAAAACGUAGCCGAUUGCAAAUCCGAAAGGACUCGUAUAAUCGGUGAGACCUGCCCAGUGGUGGUGUUUCAAACUUCUGUUCAAGGGAGCUAAGACCCAUCAAACGGCGGGCCUAACUCUGAGGCUUGAGCUUAAAACUCAUUAAAGGGCCUCAAUAAACUUUACUAUAUGCUGGAACUCCUGAAUAAUUGAAACACAAUUAUUUAAGUCGCAUUCUACUCCUAGAGUAAAAAUGAAUACGACGCAAGGACAAUCAGCAGGGAAGGACCUAGAAUUAAAAAAGGAAACAUGUUAUUAUUUAGUAGGAUUUGUCGACAGAGAAGGAGCGUUUCCAAUUCAAACAAGAAAAACUCCCGACACGAAAUUCGGAUUUACAAUAACUCCAGAAUUUAAGAUAAGUCAACAUAAAGAACAUGUUAAGGUUCUAGAGCUUUUACAAAAAGCAUUAGGAUGCGGAAAGAUUUCAGUUAAAUCUGGACAACCAAAUCAAAUGAUUUUGGUAGAAAAGAAUAGAAAAAAUCUAACUGAAAAAGUAAUUCCAUUUUCCAAAGAUAUCCAUUAAUUGUAAAAGAAAUUUCUUUUAAGAAAUUUUCUGAAGUUAUUCGUAGUUUAAAUAAUAAUGAACAACACACAAGAGAAGGAUUUAUUCGAUUAAUAGAUUUGAUUUUUCAAAAAACUAUUGGUGGAAAAGGAAAAAGGAAGUAUUCUAAAGAACAAAUUUUAGGUAACCCUCAGAGACUACACGUAAAGACUAAAUUAUCCUAAUUUAGUAAGAUAUAGUCCGACCUUGAUAGUAAUAUCAAGAAAUUAAUAGAAAUAUUAAUUCGCCAAUAAAAUGGUAAGUAAUUCUUAACAGAAUGAAGUAACAAAAAGCUUAAGGUUGAAUAGAACAACUAAACUGCCUUACGAUGAAUUCGAAAGAAUUCAACGAUCUAGGCCUUAAAGUAUAAAUUAUGAUAUAACAGAAUUAAAAUAAACCAAAAUAGAUAAAAUCUAGCUAUAUGCUGGAACGUCUUGAAGAAACUUUAUAGGAUAUUAUUUUU
rnacentral:rRNA from 1 species